CCCUAUGUGCACUUUAUGUCACUAAUAACGUCUGACUUAACUAGCGAAGAAUUAUGGCACUUGGCUGACCUCCCAUGAUGAAGUGAAAGUCUACAGAGCUCUUGUGCUUUUGAUUAUAAACCAUGGGUACCACAAAAGGGAAAAGACUAGCUGUUACAAAGACACAGACGUGAUGGAGGAGUCCAUGUCAAUGCAGUGUAUGAUGAAUGUUUGAUAUGACCUCCCAUGGCCGUAGGAGAAUAUGACCAAUCCCAGCUCACCAGGCCUCAAAGGCCCUGAAAUAUUCACAUUGAGGAGCUGCUGAGUGGACUCCUGUUCCUGAUGGCCUGGUUUUUAAAGUCAGCAACGCACCUGCAGUGACUGCAUCACAUCGGGGAACACCAGCACGAUGAUCAAGCAACCUGAUGAAUAUGUUCAGCACCGAGCAUCUAAUCUCAGUGACUUCCGGAGGCGUCUGGUUCGUUGCGGAUGACAUCAGCUGCGGAGUGAGUUUGCGAAAAAAAAAAAGAAAAGCCGGCGCCCUCUUCUCUCCCCGGUUACCGAAGAUGACACAAUGUCUGCUGGUAUAAAAAGCUAGUGCCACUCCUAUCAGGGCUCCACUUGUAUGUCUGA